GUGCAAGUGGCGGCGUGCUAUACAUGCAGUCGAGCGAACAGAUAAGGAGCUUGCUCCUUUGACGUUAGCGGCGGACGGGUGAGUAACACGUGGGUAACCUACCUAUAAGACUGGAAUAACUCCGGGAAACCGGGGCUAAUGCCGGAUAACAUUUAGAACCGCAUGGUUCUAAAGUGAAAGAUGGUUUUGCUAUCACUUAUAGAUGGACCCGCGCCGUAUUAGCUAGUUGGUAAGGUAACGGCUUACCAAGGCAACGAUACGUAGCCGACCUGAGAGGGUGAUCGGCCACACUGGAACUGAGACACGGUCCAGACUCCUACGGGAGGCAGCAGUAGGGAAUCUUCCGCAAUGGGCGAAAGGCCUGACCGGAGGCAACGCCGCCGUGAGUGAUGAAGGUCUUCGGAUCGUAAAACUCUGUUAUUAGGGAAGAACAAAUGUGUAAGUAACUAUGCACGUCUUGACGGUACCUAAUCAGAAAGCCACGGCUAACUACGUGCCAGCAGCCGCGGUAAUACGUAGGUGGCAAGCGUUAUCCGGAAUUAUUGGGCGUAAAGCGCGCGUAGGCGGUUUCUUAAGUCUGAUGUGAAAGCCCACGGCUCAACCGUGGAGGGUCAUUGGAAACUGGGAAACUUGAGUGCAGAAGAGGAAAGUGGAAUUCCAUGUGUAGCGGUGAAAUGCGCAGAGAUAUGGAGGAACACCAGUGGCGAAGGCGACUUUCUGGUCUGUAACUGACGCUGAUGUGCGAAAGCGUGGGGAUCAAACAGGAUUAGAUACCCUGGUAGUCCACGCCGUAAACGAUGAGUGCUAAGUGUUAGGGGGUUUCCGCCCCUUAGUGCUGCAGCUAACGCAUUAAGCACUCCGCCUGGGGAGUACGACCGCAAGGUUGAAACUCAAAGGAAUUGACGGGGACCCGCACAAGCGGUGGAGCAUGUGGUUUAAUUCGAAGCAACGCGAAGAACCUUACCAAAUCUUGACAUCCUUUGACAACUCUAGAGAUAGAGCCUUCCCCUUUCGGGGGACAAAGUGACAGGUGGUGCAUGGUUGUCGUCAGCUCGUGUCGUGAGAUGUUGGGUUAAGUCCCCGCAACGAGCCGCAACCCUUAAACUUAGUUGCCAGCAUUUAGUUGGGCACUCUAAGUUGACUGCCGGUGACAAACCGGAGGAAGGUGGGGAUGACGUCAAAUCAUCAUGCCCCUUAUGAUUUGGGCUACACACGUGCUACAAUGGACAAUACAAAGGGCAGCUAAACCGCGAGGUCAUGCAAAUCCCAUAAAGUUGUUCUCAGUUCGGAUUGUAGUCUGCAACUCGACUACAUGAAGCUGGAAUCGCUAGUAAUCGUAGAUCAGCAUGCUACGGUGAAUACGUUCCCGGGUCUUGUACACACCGCCCGUCACACCACGAGAGUUUGUAACACCCGAAGCCGGUGGAGUAACCAUUUAUGGAGCUAGCCGUCGAAGGUGAACAGUAUGUC
rnacentral:rRNA from 1 species